rnacentral:lncRNA from 1 species
AUUUAUAAGAGUACCUAUGGUGGCCUUCGACAUGAACAUGUUUUGUGUAUUCAGAAAUGAACAGUGCUGGCAACUGGCAGGAUAAUAUAUUGGAUACAUCUUUGGCACAUACCACAAUUUUUUAAAUCUUUCAUAUGAUACAACUAAGACUUUUGGUUGAAUGGUUAAAGCGCCCAACUCAUAAUUGGUAAAUUUGAGGGUUCAAUUCCUACUGGAUGCACGUGAACAGGAACGUUCCAUAAGUCUACUGGAAUUGGCUCUCUAUCCACGGAACCUCAUCCAUCAUGUAUAUUUAUACCAUAACAUAGGAACAAUAUGAACUCGUAUUCUUAUUGAUACUCGAACUCAGAGCAUAGGAGGGAAAGUCGAUACAUGGAUGGAAUCAAAUACGCGGCAGGCAUGGAAAAAAGUCUUCAUUAAUUGGGAAAGAAGCAAUAUACCAGGAGUCGAUAGCUUGUUUUUGUCUUGAAUCUUCAUACAUAUAUGUAGUUAAGUUUUGUAUUGUAAUUUGCUAGUUUUUCCAAAAUUAACAUGUCUAGGAAAGGAGACUUUAAAAAUCAUAUCAGACAGUGUAUUCUUGAAGUCAUACCACGCAGCUUUUAAGUCGUCAUGCAAUAACCCUGAACAAACAUUUUGGUCGACGAAAUAAGGAAACAGAAGACACAUGACAAGAAUAGAAAUGAACUUCAGCAGAGCGCGUGUAUGUAUCUCUAUACAUACAAAAACAAGAGAUAUGGAAGACAACCCCACAUCGUACCUGAACACUGCCCGCAUGCUUGUCACUUCAAAAAUUAUUCAUACAAUAAAUAUUAGUACUUCGCAUAUCCUGGACAUGGAAGCACUGGAGUUUAAGGGGUUUGGUAGCAAAACUCUCUCACUUGUGCAACCCCAUGACGGAACAAGUGUGUCGGUUCACAAUUUUUGCUUGAUAAGUCUUAGGCGGAUCAUGUACCAGCACAGUGUAGCAGGGGGACAGCCUGGUGCAUGUGGUCCCGCUUAUGCAGAGUCCGGGGAAGGGUCCGACCAGC